GACGAACGCUGGCGGCGUGCUUAACACAUGCAAGUCGAACGGAAAGGCCCUGCUUUUGUGGGGUGCUCGAGUGGCGAACGGGUGAGUAACACGUGAGUAACCUGCCCUUGACUUUGGGAUAACUUCAGGAAACUGGGGCUAAUACCGGAUAGGAGCUCCUGCUGCAUGGUGGGGGUUGGAAAGUUUCGGCGGAUGGGGAUGGACUCGCGGCUUAUCAGCUGGUUGGUGGGGUAGUGGCUUACCAAGGCUUUGACGGGUAGCCGGCCUGAGAGGGUGACCGGCCACAUUGGGACUGCGAUACGGCCCAGACUCCUACGGGAGGCAGCAGUGGGGAAUAUUGCACAAUGGGCGGAAGCCUGAUGCAGCAACGCCGCGUGCGGGAUGACGGCCUUCGGGUUGUAAACCGCUUUCGCCUGUGACGAAGCGUGAGUGACGGUAAUGGGUAAAGAAGCACCGGCUAACUACGUG
rnacentral:rRNA from 1 species